rnacentral:rRNA from 1 species
UGAGGAAUAUUGGUCAAUGGGCGAAAGCCUGAACCAGCCAAGUAGCGUGCAGGAUGACGGCCCCAUGGGUUGUAAACUGCUUUUAUAUGGGAAUAAAGUGAGGGACGUGUCCCUUAUUGCAUGUACCAUACGAAUAAGGACCGGCUAAUUCCGUGCCAGCAGCCGCGGUAAUACGGAAGGUCCAGGCGUUAUCCGGAUUUAUUGGGUUUAAAGGGAGCGUAGGCUGUUUGUUAAGCGUGUUGUGAAAUGUAGGAGCUCAACUUUUAGAUUGCAGCGCGAACUGGCAGACUUGAGUGCGCACAACGUAGGCGGAAUUCAUGGUGUAGCGGUGAAAUGCUUAGAUAUCAUGACGAACUCCGAUUGCGAAGGCAGCUUACGGGAGCGCAACUGACGCUAAAGCUCGAAGGUGCGGGUAUCGAACAGG